AAGAAUUUAAGUUAAAAAAACUUUUAGCCUUCAAAGCAAAAAUUAGAUAUAUAAUCUAAUUCUUA
rnacentral:tRNA from 1 species